UUGGAGGGCAAGUCUGGUGCCAGCAGCCGCGGUAAUUCCAGCUCCAAUAGCGUAUAUUAAAGUUGUUGCAGUUAAAAAGCUCGUAGUUGAACUUCGGGGUUUACUCAUUGGUCAGGCUUAAUUGUCUGCACUGGUGAGAUGAAUCUCUACUUUCUGAGGAACUUUCAUGCCAUUUAUUUGGUGUGAUGGGAAAUCAGGACUGUUACUUUGAAAAAAUUAGAGUGUUUAAAGCAGGCUAACGUCUGAAUACAUUAGCAUGGAAUAAUGAAAUAGGACGGACUGAUUCUAUUUCGUUGGUUUCUAGGAUCACCGUAAUGAUUAAUAGGGAUAGUUGGGGGCAUUAGUAUUCAAUUGUCAGAGGUGAAAUUCUUGGAUUUAUUGAAGACUAACUACUGCGAAAGCAUUUGCCAAGGAUGUUUUCAUUAAUCAAGAACGAAAGUUAGGGGAUCGAAGACGAUCAGAUACCGUCGUAGUCUUAACCAUAAACUAUGCCGACUAGGGAUCGGACGAAGUUAAUUUUAUAAUGACGCGUUCGGCGCCUUACGGGAAAC
rnacentral:rRNA from 1 species